GGGGCCUAGAGGCUCUCCGCUGGGCCCGAGCGGGCUGGGGGAGGGGAGCGUGGGGCCGACAGUUUUGGGGGUGAAAAGGCAAAAAGCGGGUGAAAGGCUGCCUCCCGAGGCUCUCCUUGCUUGGAAUUCUGCCCACUCUGCGGAGUUAGGAGUCACGACCUCCAGCACAGGAUGUGGUACCACAGAUUGUCCCACCUACACAGCAGGCUUCAGGACUUGCUGAAGGGAGGAGUCAUAUAUCCGGCCCUUCCACAGCCCAACUUCAAAAGCUUACUUCCUUUAGCUGUCCAUUGGCACCAUACAGCCUCCAAGUCUCUGACUUGUGCUUGGCAGCAACAUGAAGAUCAUUUUGAGCUGAAAUAUGCUAAUACCGUGAUGCGCUUUGAUUAUGUCUGGCUUCGAGACCACUGCCGCUCAGCAUCGUGCUACAACUCUAAGACUCACCAGCGCAGCCUGGAUCCUGCCAGUGUGGAUUUAUGUAUCAAGCCAAAGACCAUUCAUCUGGAUGAGACCACACUCUUUUUUACUUGGCCAGAUGGUCAUGUGACUAAAUAUGAUUUGAAUUGGCUGGUGAAAAACAGCUAUGAAGGGCAGAAACAAAAAGUCAUCCAGCCUAGAAUACUAUGGAAUGCUGAAAUCUACCAGCAAGCCCAAGUUCCAUCUGUAGAUUGCCAGAGCUUCUUAGAAACCAAUGAGGGACUGAAGAAGUUUCUGCAAAACUUUCUGCUCUAUGGAAUUGCAUUUGUAGAAAAUGUCCCUCCCACUCAAGAGCACACAGAGAAGUUGGCAGAAAGGAUCAGCUUAAUCAGAGAAACCAUUUAUGGGAGGAUGUGGUAUUUCACUUCAGACUUCUCCAGAGGUGACACUGCAUACACCAAGCUAGCUCUGGAUCGGCACACUGACACUACCUAUUUUCAAGAGCCCUGUGGCAUUCAAGUGUUUCAUUGUCUUAAGCAUGAAGGAACUGGUGGCAGGACACUGCUAGUAGAUGGAUUCUAUGCAGCAGAACAGGUACUUCAAAAGGCACCUGAGGAAUUUGAACUCCUCAGUAAAGUGCCAUUGAAGCAUGAAUAUAUUGAAGAUGUUGGAGAAUGUCACAACCACAUGAUUGGGAUUGGGCCAGUCUUAAAUAUCUACCCAUGGAAUAAAGAGCUGUAUUUGAUCAGGUACAACAACUAUGACCGGGCUGUCAUCAAUACCGUUCCUUAUGAUGUCGUCCAUCGCUGGUAUACAGCACACCGGACUCUAACGACAGAGUUGAGGAGACCUGAGAAUGAGUUUUGGGUCAAACUAAAGCCUGGCAGGGUGGGUCCUAAUCUCUAAAGAUGUCAAGCAAGCUUGUAAUACUGAAGCAGUGAAGAACGGGUACUUACUUAAUAUGUCCUAUUUAUAGACAACUGGCGUGUCCUACAUGGCAGGGAAUGCUUCACUGGCUACCGCCAACUCUGUGGCUGCUAUUUAACAAGAGAUGAUGUAUUAAGCACUGCUCGCCUCUUGGGGCUUCAGGCUUAAAAUUGACAGCAUCGGGAUUAUGAAUACACCUGGCACCCUGGCUACCAGAAUUUCAUAUGGGCAGAAUAAUAUUGUGUCAAACUCUA